rnacentral:rRNA from 1 species
AGAGUUUGAUCCUGGCUCAGGAUGAACGCUAGCGACAGGCUUAACACAUGCAAGUCGAGGGGCAGCACAGGUAGCAAUACCGGGUGGCGACCGGCGCACGGGUGAGUAACGCGUAUGCAACUUGCCUAUCAGAGGGGGAUAACCCGGCGAAAGUCGGACUAAUACCGCAUGAAGCAGGGAUCCCGCAUGGGAAUAUCUGCUAAAGAUUCAUCGCUGAUAGAUAGGCAUGCGUUCCAUUAGGCAGUUGGCGGGGUAACGGCCCACCAAACCGACGAUGGAUAGGGGUUCUGAGAGGAAGGUCCCCCACAUUGGUACUGAGACACGGACCAAACUCCUACGGGAGGCAGCAGUGAGGAAUAUUGGUCAAUGGCCGAGAGGCUGAACCAGCCAAGGCGCGUGAGGGAUGAAGGUUCUAUGGAUCGUAAACCUCUUUUAUAAGGGAAUAAAGUGCGGGACGUGUCCCGUUUUGUAUGUACCUUAUGAAUAAGGAUCGGCUAACUCCGUGCCAGCAGCCGCGGUAAUACGGAGGAUCCGAGCGUUAUCCGGAUUUAUUGGGUUUAAAGGGUGCGUAGGCGGCCUUUUAAGUCAGCGGUGAAAGUCUGUGGCUCAACCAUAGAAUUGCCGUUGAAACUGGGGGGGCUUGAGUAUGUUUGAGGCAGGCGGAAUGCGUGGUGUAGCGGUGAAAUGCAUAGAUAUCACGCAGAACCCCGAUUGCGAAGGCAGCCUGCCAAGCCAUUACUGACGCUGAUGCACGAAAGCGUGGGGAUCAAACAGGAUUAGAUACCCUGGUAGUCCACGCAGUAAACGAUGAUCACUAGCUGUUUGCGAUACACUGUAAGCGGCACAGCGAAAGCGUUAAGUGAUCCACCUGGGGAGUACGCCGGCAACGGUGAAACUCAAAGGAAUUGAUGGGGGCCCGCACAAGCGGAGGAACAUGUGGUUUAAUUCGAUGAUACGCGAGGAACCUUACCCGGGUUUGAACGCAUUCGGACCGAGGUGGAAACACCUUUUCUAGCAAUAGCCGUUUGCGAGGUGCUGCAUGGUUGUCGUCAGCUCGUGCCGUGAGGUGUCGGCUUAAGUGCCAUAACGAGCGCAACCCUUGCCACUAGUUACUAACAGGUAAAGCUGAGGACUCUGGUGGGACUGCCAGCGUAAGCUGCGAGGAAGGCGGGGAUGACGUCAAAUCAGCACGGCCCUUACAUCCGGGGCGACACACGUGUUACAAUGGCGUGGACAAAGGGAAGCCACCUGGCGACAGGGAGCGAAUCCCCAAACCACGUCCCAGUUUGGAUCGGAGUCUGCAACCCGACUCCGUGAAGCUGGAUUCGCUAGUAAUCGCGCAUCAGCCAUGGCGCGGUGAAUACGUUCCCGGGCCUUGUACACACCGCCCGUCAAGCCAUGGGAGCCGGGGGUACCUGAAGUCCGUAACCGCGAGGAUCGGCCUAGGGUAAAACUGGUGACUGGGGCUAAGUCGUAGCAAGGUA